GAAAAAGAAUUGCAAGAACUGCUAAUUCAUGCGCCCCAUACUUAAUAAUAUGGCUUUUUCAA
rnacentral:tRNA from 1 species